rnacentral:rRNA from 1 species
UACGGAGGGUGCGAGCGUUGUCCGGAAUCAUUGGGCGUAAAGAGCGCGUAGGCGGCCCAGUAAGUCCGCUCUGAAAGUCAGGGGCUCAACCCCUGAAUGCGGGUGGAUACUGCUGGGCUAGAGUCCGGAAGAGGCGAGUGGAAUUCCUGGCGUAGCGGUGAAAUGCGCAGAUAUCAGGAGGAACACCGAUGGCGAAGGCAGCUCGCUGGGACGGUACUGACGCUGAGGAGCGAAAGCGUGGGGAGCGAACAGG